rnacentral:rRNA from 1 species
CCCUUAGAUGCUCUGGGCCGCACGCGCGCUACACUGGUCGAUGCAACGAGUUUCUUUCCUUGGCCGACAGGCCUGGGCAAUCUUUGAACAUCGAUCGUGAUCGGGAUAGAUUCUUGUAAUUUUUGAUCUUAAACGAGGAAUUCCUAGUAAACGCAAGUCAUCAGCUUGCAUUGAUUACGUCCCUGCCCUUUGUACACACCGCCCGUCGCUACUACCGAUUGAACGUUUUAGUGAGGUAUUUGGACUGGACCUUCGGAGGUUCGCGCCUCCGUUGCUGUUCGGGAAGACUCCCAAACUUGAGCGUUUAGAGGAAGUAAAAGUCGUAACA